rnacentral:rRNA from 1 species
GCUUAACACAUGCAAGUCGAGGGGCAGCAUGGUCUUAGCUUGCUAAGGCCGAUGGCGACCGGCGCACGGGUGAGUAACACGUAUCCAACCUGCCGUCUACUCUUGGACAGCCUUCUGAAAGGAAAAUUAAUACAAGAUGGCAUCAUGAGUUCACAUGUUCACAUGAUUAAAGGUAUUCCGGUAGACGAUGGGGAUGCGUUCCAUUAGAUAGUAGGCGGGGUAACGGCCCACCUAGUCUUCGAUGGAUAGGGGUUCUGAGAGGAAGGUCCCCCACAUUGGAACUGAGACACGGUCCAAACUCCUACGGGAGGCAGCAGUGAGGAAUAUUGGUCAAUGGGCGAGAGCCUGAACCAGCCAAGUAGCGUGAAGGAUGACGG